UACUAGCGGACCCGGCGAACUUCGUUUC
rnacentral:sRNA from 1 species